rnacentral:rRNA from 1 species
UAUCUAACAGAAGAAGCACCGGCUAACUACGUGCCAGCAGCCGCGGUAAUACGUAGGUGCAAGCGUUAAUCGGAAUUACUGGGCGUAAAGGGUGCGCAGGCGGUUCUGUAAGUCAGAUGUGAAAUCCCCGGGCUUAACCUGGGAACUGCGUUUGAAACUGCAGAGCUAGAGUGCAGCAGAGGGAGGUGGAAUUCCAUGUGUAGCAGUGAAAUGCGUAGAGAUAUGGAAGAACAUCGAUGGCGAAGGCAACCUCCUGGGCUAGCACUGACGCUCAUGCACGAAAGCGUGGGGAGCAAACAGGAUUAGAUACCCUGGUAGUCCACGCCCUAAACUAUGUCAACUAGUUGUCGGGUCUUAUUAGACUUGGUAACGUAGCUAACGCGUGAAGUUGACCGCCUGGGGAGUACGGUCGCAAGAUUAAAACUC